CUCUUAGCGUCCUUCUGGUCUGCAAGACAUGCCGUUUCUAUUCACUAGUUGUUUUUUUUACAACUUUGUCUAUGUCUGAGCGGUACAACUUUCUCCCUCUUUAAUCCCUUUACAGAAUUUAACUGCAUUUUGUCAGUUAUUGUCCUUCUCAUAACCACCACUCAUUUCUCCCUUUUUUUUUCUGCUGCUCUAUCUCCUUCAUUUUUUAACUGACAGAAACCCAUUUUAAAUGAAGUGUCCUUUUGCGUCACGUACCUUUCUCAUCAGGCUGAAUGUGUUUUUUUCUUCACAUAUCCUACAAGGCCCUCUUAACCUUAGAUUUAUUGUCAGGGUGGAGGCACAAGUUGACUGCUUUCUCUGUUUGAUGUAUUUUCAUUGAUGCUCCAACACUCUGGAGUGAAGAGAUGAGCUUUUACUAUAGAUAAAACAGACUUUUGUUGGUGCAGACAUAUAGGUAGAUCAGUAGCAUCUUCAAACGUGUUUAGACUUGAGUUAAACAGUUUAAGUUGAAUUGAGGCCUUGCUCUGCAGCAAACAAAGAUGGCAUAAUCACUUAUGAAUUUCCUGCAGCUUUCUCACGUUUUACUGGCACAACGACUACAUGCAAGGAGAAAUAGGUUCAUGUGAUGAUGACAUGACGCUUCAUUAAGGGAGGAGAAAAUGAUACUGCACAAUAAAACAGACUACCCGCUAGAACAUUUAUUCAUUGGCUUGCACCAGAAUUAUUUGCUGUACGUGCCCAAGAAGUUGUACAGUUAAUUUAAUUCUAACUACAGUUGAAGAAAGAAAUGAACACUUCCAUUAAAUUUCUCUGUUCCUUUUCUCGAAGGUGUCAAUGGCUGCUCCAUCCAUGGGUCUGUUAGGAUUCAUACUGAUACAUGCUGCCACUGCCACCACUCUUCCUUUUUUGCACGAACAAAGACAGGUGGGAGAACUGAAGCUACAACUUGAGACACCACAGGCCAGCAGGAAUCAGAACUCACAAGGGCGCCUUUCACGACUUCUCAGCUGCUGUCAGACUGGUGAACGUGACAUUAAACAGGGCAAGACCCACCCCACUUCACACUCUCACUGGACGCACACUCAUGCACACAAACUGUCACUCUAUCAGGCUAUGAGUACAAUUGUAUGUUAUGUACUAUUUUUUCCACGCUGCUGUUUAUCAGAUUGUUUUUAUUAAAACGUUUGCAAUUUUUUCUGCUUGUGAUUCAUUUGCUGAAUUUUUCUGUUUUUUAAACUAUUGCAGUUUUUGCUCACACAAUCCAAACUUGAAAAUACUGAAUAAAACGCAUAGUAUUUUAAACACUGGAAUGUACUUGAGGAAACAUCAUUCUAUUCUAUUCUAUUCUAUUCUAUUCUAUUCUGUUCUAUUCUACAUGACUGUUUUAUGGAUUUUCUCGAGCUGGUAUCUUUUCAAAACACAAAGAAAAUAUUAUCCAUUCACUGUUUAAGUCUAACUUGUUGUUUGACAUGCAUGAUUUAUUAGCAGUAGUUUAAUUUAAACACCAGGAAUAUGAACAUAAUGUAAUGAGGAACAAUGGACAGAUUACAUCAGAAAGUCUAUAAGGGAAAUCAGUAACAAGCAGGAGCUAGAUUAAAACAUAGUAAAAUGGUGAUAUCAAACAGAGGAAGUCUGGUUGUAAUCCAUCAGCUGCCAGGCUAGUUUGUUCUGCCUUUUUAGCCAUUUGGGAUUUACUGUGAUUGAGGGAAGUCAAUUUCUGCAGAGAUGGUGCUGACAGCAGAAUGAGACUACCUUUCAUUUUCUCUGGGUUUAAAAAAAUACGAAAAUCUUGCUGAAGGACAUUAAAAAAUAGGCUGGAAUGUUUUAGUUGAGAUUUGUAUUAAAACCCUGCAAAGGUUAAAAUGGAUAUAUUUUUGACCAAAUAGAAUAAGUACUAAACGACACAAGGUAGUAGAAAAAAUACUCCAGUGUUAAAAAUAAUAUGUGUAGCAAUAAUUACUGGUUUAAUGUGAUCAUGUGUUCUAUGAUAAACAAUGACUAUUACAUAAUGGUUACCGUUAAUGUUUACUAAAAUCGUGAAUGAUUGUUUGCUUAAGAUAAUCCAUCAUUACAAGGUACUGGAUUUUGUUACUUGAAAAGAAUACAUUGGAUCAGAACUGGAUUACAAAAACUGUAAAACUAUCAAAUGAGUUAACUCCGUAGGGGUGGGAUUAUAUAAACUUGCUUCUUUCCACUCUUUUUCAAGCAAUAAAUCAAGCUCUACUUAACUUUAGUUAAUGAUCACUGUAUUUAAUUAAGCAAAUGUGAUUUAAGUGACUUUUUGUUUUGUUUUAUUUUCUGUCUUUUUAAUCUAUGCAUUUCAACAUUUCUGUAAUGAGUUUGAUAAAUAUGUGUAAAUUCUUUAUUGCUUUGACUACAAUGCUUGAAAUAAAUCAAUACAUCAAAUCAUGUGGUACACUUAAUUAAAUGUUUUCAAGGUAUA
rnacentral:lncRNA from 1 species